rnacentral:rRNA from 1 species
AUGAAUGUGGCCCUCAUGUUGCGCUGGGUCUGGCGGAUCUUGCGGGCUGAUGGAGGUUUGUGGCUUCAGCUGGUGGAGGCCAAGUACCUGCAGGGUCAACCCCUCUUAGCUUGCUCUCAAUCGGCGGGAUCCCAGUUCUGGAAGUCUAUCCAGGCCAUCAAGGAAGAGAUUAGGUUGGGGGUACGCAUCUCAGUUGGCAAUGGGUACGGUACUCAGUUUUGGCUGGACCCCUGGCUUGAUGGGGAGACGCUUCGUACUCGGUUUCCUGGGCUCUUUGUGAUCUGCGUGGCUCCGAACGUGCUAGUUUCGGCAGCCGCAGUGGAUGAUGGGUGGAACAUUGAGUUCGGCCGCGCAUUCGGUCCGGAGGAGGUGCGAGAGUGGGUAAACUUGAGGGAAGUAGUCCCUCGUCCGUUGUCCCAAGCUCCUGACAUAGUUUCUUGGAGUCUCUCUCCUUCGGGAGAAUUCUCCGUUAGCUCAGCUUACUAG